rnacentral:misc_RNA from 1 species
GAUGAAGAACGCAGCGAAAUGCGAUAAGUAAUGUGAAUUGCAGAAUUCAGUGAAUCAUCGAAUCUUUGAACGCACCUUGCACCCUUUGGCAUUCCGAAGGGUAUGCUCGUUUGAGUGUCAUUGUACUCUCACACUCUCCGAUCCUAUGGAUUCGGGGAGCGGUGGACUUGGGUGUUGCUGCCUUUCCUUGUGGCUCACCUCAAAUGUGUCAGUGCACCUCUUGGUUGGACAUAGUACGGCGUGAUAAGUGUCUUCGCCGGCACCUCGCAAGAGGGUGGCCGAUCGGGAGCUCUGUGCUUUCAAACCGUCUUCGGACAAUUUCUGACAACUUGACCUCAAAUCGAGUAGGACUACCCGCUGAACUUAAGCAUAUCAAUAGCGGAGGA